AAUUUCAGUUUAGUGAGGGUUGAAAGUUUUCGAUCUAGAUUGCAGAUCACUAUUGUCACUUUAUACAAACUGAAAGUAUGCGUUGUUGCGUGUUUGUUUUUGUGGGCAUUUGACUGAACAGCCCAGACAAAUAUUGCUACCAACAUGGCACUUCGAAACAGACCACCGCAGUGUUAGAUGACUGACAAGAUCUAUGGGGGGGCCCCCUUUGGGCCCCCCCAUACCAACUUAGUCUUCAAAGGAAUCUAGUGCCAUGGGACUCCAGUGUCUUCAAAACAUCCUCGGAAUACAUGUGUAUGAAUGGUCCACCGAAGGGUUGAUCUGGAAGCCACCACGGUCCACGCAGUAAUCUGCUGCGUGGGCCGUAGUGGCUUCCAGAGCCAUCUUUCGGUCUUGGUCAGGAUUUGUUACAGUUGCCCUUCAAUGUAGCAGGCUACGUUUUUCUGAAGAAGCCUGCUUUACGUAGCAUUGGAGUACAAAUAUUGUGCAAAAUGCUCAUGUAAUUGCACUAGCACUAGUAACCUGUAGAUUAGCUUAGUUUAACGUCAUUCCGUGCUGUCUCUGUCAAAUGUGUGGCUUACUUUAAGUCCACAAGGCCCUCUGGUAAACCACAUUGGAACACCCCUGGACAAGGUGAUUAGUCACUGGGUGUGUGCUAAAGUUUUGUUCCAUUUUUCACUAGUUGGUUAAGGUUUGGUAGAAUUGUUUGGAUGCUAGCGACGUGAUGGCGUAUGUACAAGAGCCUACCGUGGCCAGGCCACAGUUGCGACGGCCACGGCCAGAUGGCCUAGUGUGAGUGCAACCUUGAUUGCAUUUGUAUACUGUUUACUAUUGGUAUUAUAGCUGCAUUUGACUAUUCCAGGGUCGUUUUGUACAGGCUUUCAAUUGACCAUGUUGACUAGUUUGUGGGAAGUUUUUUUUUUUUUUUACCCUUGCAAUCCAACGGUUGUGACCACUUAUGCAACUGGGCUGUGAACCUUGCAAUUCUAGUUGCAUAUUUGUACACGCAAGCUUGUCCAUUUCUAUCGCCAUCACUAACACUAGCUUCAGCAUUUCCUUGUAGGCCAUUAGCUGACUUGUGUAUUGGAGCGAUGAUUUGGGUAUUUUAAGAUGCUUGAAAACCUAAAAUAAAGCAAAAUGCGUGUCUGGUGUGCAAGAGCCAAUUUGUUGGCUUGCAGUAGUCGAGGAGUUGCCGUAGGUCGUAAGCCAUCUGGAGGUUGUGGCAAUGGAGGCUUGUGGUAGAUCUGCCAUCCAAGAAAGGUUAAUUCUUCUGAAGCAUGAUUAAUAGUUUAGUAAAUUGAAUCUAUUCAUAUAGAACUAUAAAAUCCAAGACUGCAGCCAGUAACUUGGAUCGCAAUAUGUGGAAAGUAUUAGUCUUCAUUUGUAACAACAGAAUAAUUAACAUGACUAACUGGGUUUCUUCCAUUUUCUAACUAGGGGGACUUGACUGGUGAGUCUACUGGAUUAAUCAGUAGCGGUACUUUGCCCAACAGAUUUGAUGGCAUGACUACAGGGUGACAAAGACAAUUAUU